rnacentral:rRNA from 1 species
UGNUCUGUCACUGACGCUGAGGCUNGAAAGCGUGGGUAGCGAACAGGAUUAGAUACCCUGGUAGUNCACGCCGUAAACGAUGAGUGCUAGGUGUUAGGCCCUUUCCGGGGCUUAGUGCCGGAGCUAACGCAAUAAGCACUCCGCCUGGGGAGUACGACCGCAAGGUUGAAACUCAAAGGAAUUGACGGGGGCCCGCACAAGCGGUGGAGCAUGUGGUUUAAUUCGAAGCAACGCGAAGAACCUUACCAGGUCUUGACAUCCCGAUGCUAUUCUUAGAGAUAGGAAGUUACUUCGGUACAUCGGAGACAGGUGGUGCAUGGUUGUCGUCAGCUCGUGUCGUGAGAUGUUGGGUUAAGUCCCGCAACGAGCGCAACCCUUAUUGUUAGUUGCCAUCAUUAAGUUGGGCACUCUAGCGAGACUGCCGGUAAUAAACCGGAGGAAGGUGGGGAUGACGUCAAAUCAUCAUGCCCCUUAUGACCUGGGCUACACACGUGCUACAAUGGUCGGUACAAUGAGUUGCGAGCCGGUGACGGCAAGCUAAUCUCUGAAAGCCGAUCUCAGUUCGGAUUGGAGGCUGCAACUCGCCUCCAUGGAGUCGGAAUCGCUAGUAAUCGCGGAUCAGCACGCCGCGGUGAAUACGUUCCCGGGCCUUGUACACACCGCCCGUCACACCACGAGAGUUUGUAACACCCGAAGUCGGUGAGGUAACCUUU